rnacentral:rRNA from 1 species
AGAGUUUGAUCAUGGCUCAGGAUGAACGCUAGCGGCAGGCCUAAUACAUGCAAGUCGAACGGUUAUAGGGAUUAGCAAUAGUUUUUAUGAUAGUGGCGCACGGGUGCGUAACGCGUAUGCAACCUACCUUCAAUUGGGGGAUAACUCUGGGAAACUGGAAUUAAUACCGCAUAAGAUAGUAAUGCUUCAUGGCAUAGCUAUUAAAGAUUUAUCGAUUGAAGAUGGGCAUGCGUGACAUUAGUUAGUUGGUGAGGUAACGGCUCACCAAGACUUCGAUGUCUAGGGGUUCUGAGAGGAUGAUCCCCCACACUGGUACUGAGAUACGGACCAGACUCCUACGGGAGGCAGCAGUAGGGAAUAUUGGUCAAUGGACGCAAGUCUGAACCAGCCAUGCCGCGUGCAGGACGAAGGCCCUCUGGGUUGUAAACUGCUUUUGUAUAGGAAGAAACGCUCCGACGUGUCGGAGUUUGACGGUACUAUAAGAAUAAGGAUCGGCUAAC